GACAGAGGGUGCAAACGUUGUUCGGAAUUACUGGGCGUAAAGCGUGUGUAGGCGGUCCACUAAGUCGGGUGUGAAGCCCUGGGCUCAACCCAGGAAGUGCACUCGAAACUGGCGGGCUAGAGUAUCGGAGAGGUUGGUGGAAUUCGUCGGUGUAGAGGUGAAAUUGGUAGAUAUCGAGAGGAACACCGGUGGCGAAGGCGGCCAACUGGACGAAUACUGACGCGAGACACGAAAGCGUGGGAGCAACAGGAUU
rnacentral:rRNA from 1 species